UGGGGAAUCUUGCGCAAUGGACGAAAGUCUGACGCAGCGACGCCGCGUGGGGGAUGAAGGCUUUCGGGUUGUAAACCCCUGUUGCCCGGGACGAACUUCUCCUUUCGAGGAGAUUGACGGUACCGGGUGAGGAAGCACCGGCUAACUCUGUGCCAGCAGCCGCGGUAAUACAGAGGGUGCGAGCGUUGUCCGGAAUCACUGGGCGUAAAGGGCGCGUAGGUGGCGACCCAAGUCGAUGGUGAAAGCUCGCCGCUCAACGGCGAGUCGGCCACCGAUACUGGGUUGCUGGAGCACUGUAGAGGCAGAUGGAAUUCCGGGUGUAGCGGUGGAAUGCGUAGAGAUCCGGAAGAACACCGGUGGCGAAGGCGGUCUGCUGGGCAGUUGCUGACACUGAGGCGCGACAGCGUGGGGAGCAAACA
rnacentral:rRNA from 1 species